AUUGAACGCUGGCGGCAGGCCUAACACAUGCAAGUCGAUCGGAUGAAGGGAGCUUGCUCCUGGAUUCAGCGGCGGACGGGUGAGUAAUGCCUAGGAAUCUGCCUGGUAGUGGGGUAUAACGUCCGGAAACGGGCGCUAAUACCGCAUACGUCCUGAGGGAGAAAGUGGGGGUUCUUCGGACCUCCCUCUAUCAGAUGAGCCUAGGUCGGAUUAGCUAGUUGGUGGGGUAAAGGCCUACCAAGGCGACGAUCCGUAACUGGUCUGAGAGGAUGAUCAGUCACACUGGAACUGAGACACGGUCCAGACUCCUACGGGAGGCAGCAGUGGGGAAUAUUGGACAAUGGGCGAAAGCCUGAUCCAGCCAUGCCGCGUGUGUGAAGAAGGUCUUCGGAUUGUAAAGCACUUUAAGUUGGGAGGAAGGGCAGUAAGUUAAUACCUUGCUGUUUUGACGUUACCAACAGAAUAAGCACCGGCUAACUUCGUG
rnacentral:rRNA from 1 species